AUCCAGCUGACGAUUCCAAAAUAGGACGAAACGCGCGUCCUGGAU
rnacentral:hammerhead_ribozyme from 1 species